CCCUGCCAUUUGUACACACCGCCCGUCGCUACUACCGAUUGAAUGGUUUAGUGAGGCCUUCGGAUCGACGCCGGUAGCUGUUUACAGCCACUUGGUGUUGAAAAGUUGGUCAAACUUGGUCAUUUAGAGGAAGUAAAAGUCGUAACAAGGUUU
rnacentral:rRNA from 1 species